CGUAUCUAUAGUUCUGUAAAAAGGUUGUUCACCUUUUUUUGACUUUACUACCUACAUACUACAGAUGUACUUUCAUGGAUCACUGAAAGGAGGGAAUGGCUCACAUGCUUUGUCCAAAAAUAUGAUAGACAACAGGCUUUUAAGGGGCUGGCAGAAACAAGAG